rnacentral:rRNA from 1 species
GUGGGGAAUUUUGGACAAUGGGCGCAAGCCUGAUCCAGCAAUGCCGCGUGCAGGAAGAAGGCCUUCGGGUUGUAAACUGCUUUUGUACGGAACGAAAAGGCUCUGGUUAAUACCUGGGGCUCAUGACGGUACCGUAAGAAUAAGCACCGGCUAACUACGUGCCAGCAGCCGCGGUAAUACGUAGGGUGCAAGCGUUAAUCGGAAUUACUGGGCGUAAAGCGUGCGCAGGCGGUUUUGUAAGACAGACGUGAAAUCCCCGGGCUCAACCUGGGAAUGGCGUUUGUGACUGCAAAGCUGGAGUGCGGCAGAGGGGGAUGGAAUUCCGCGUGUAGCAGUGAAAUGCGUAGAUAUGCGGAGGAACACCGAUGGCGAAGGCAAUCCCCUGGGCCUGCACUGACGCUCAUGCACGAAAGCGUGGGGAGCAAACAGGAUUAGAAACCCCGGUAGUCC